UCUUUAUCCAUUUGUCAAUCGAGUUUAAAAAAAAUGUCAUCGGACAUGUGGCUACACGUGGGAGCAACCAAUCAACUUUUGCCUCGAUUUGAAGAGCCAACCCUUCUCUCACUUGUAAAUGUAACACGCACUGACAGUGAGAAUACCUAUACGUCAUUGCAAGGGGAGUAUAAAGACGGAUUCACCAGCUUGUGCAUGGAAGGAUACAAACUCAUCAGGAGUGAAAAGGUUUGAACCCCCUUUCCCCCUUUUUAAUACCAUAGGGGAAAAAAAGUGAACAGUAAAAAAGGAGAAAAAAGAAAAGUGACCCCAGACAGUAGAACACAUUUUUUUUUUAUUAUUCAUUUUAUAGCAAUAUUGCAUGUGUUUGAAAAUAUAUAAAUGAAUGUCAUGAUUCCCACUAUGGCCACUAGAUGACAGCAGAGGAUCAUUUAUUGUCUCAUUUACCAUUUACACUCUGUAAUAUAGUUAUUUUUAUUUUAUGCUAAUGGAUUUAUAUUUAGACAUUAUAAAAUCACUAUUAUAGCAUUUAAAUAUCUAUUUUUUUGUCAAAGUUUUGUAUUAAAGUAUGAAGUAGCAAGAGUUUUCAACUCAUUGGAUCUACUGGAAUCACACAGAUGGUCUUUGAAUUCAGAAUGGCAAUUUUCAGCAAAAGGUGGCCAGUUUGUUUCCUUGUUUACAAUCUUCUCAGUUUCUCUCAAAUGUAAAUCAAAUGCCCAUUCACAAACAUGUGUUUUGUUGUUGUUGUUGUUUCCCGAGCAAUAGAGAUCGGAAAUGAACUGAUAUUAAUCACUUUGCCAUCUUAGACAGUGGCGGUGCCAUGAUGUUUUCAUAGGGGUGGCCAGGAAGGCGCCAGCAACCAGUCUGGGGUGGAACAGAAAAUUAUUUCUAUAUAGAAAUUAACUUGACUAUAAAGUACUGGACGGUUUUAGCACCUAAAACACAACUGAAUACAAUUUAUUUGUACUUAAUUGUAACUGAAAUAGUUUUUACAUUUGAGAUAGAAUUACAUGAAGCAAUACUGAGCAAUACUCGUUGUCCGCCUCUGUCUGCUUUUCUGCAACAGACUGAAGCCUCCGUGCAUGUGCAUUCAGCGUGCCUUUCUUUUCAGCUAAUACAAUAAAAAUGCUGCAAUUUUCUGGAGUUAUUUUAUGAUUGUUUGUGCAGUCUCAAGCUAUAUCUUAAACUUCUCAAAAUACAAUCCUCUUCAGAUUAGUUUUAAUCUAAAUAAAACAAUCUUUAUCUAAUUCUGAUUGGGUGGGCAAGACAGUCAUUUGGGUGGGCUUAGCCCACCCCUGCCCAUGCCUGGAGCCGGCCCUGCUGUGAGUCAGAAGCGCCAUACUGUCCUUGCAAAGUUGGAAUUGCCCCUCUUUAUAGAAACAGACACCAGCAUUGUAGGCUACUCUCCCAGGAAACAGACCUCGUCCUCCGCAAAAUGCACUGCACACAUCUGAAUAUUUGGAUUGAACUGUUCCGGAACAGAGUUGUAAAUACAACUUAACCACUGAUUUCUAGUUGUGUCCUCUUUUGGAAGGCCAAACAAAGUAGAUUCACUUUCACAACAAAACACGUAGCAUCGCCACAACAUGGCACCCGCAGCAACAAUGAGAAUAAGUUACGGAUUCUUUCUUUGCAUGAACAUUUGGGGCGGCAUU
ensembl:lncRNA